rnacentral:rRNA from 1 species
UACGAAGGGGGCUAGCGUUGCUCGGAAUCACUGGGCGUAAAGGGUGCGUAGGCGGGUCUUUAAGUCAGGGGUGAAAUCCUGGAGCUCAACUCCAGAACUGCCUUUGAUACUGGGAGAUCUUGAGUCCGGGAGAGGGUGAGUGGAACUCCGAGUGUAGAGGUGAAAUUCGUAGAUAUUCGGAAGAAACACCAGUGGCGAAGGCGGCUCACUGGCCCGGUACUGACGCUGAGGUGCGAAAGCGUGGGGAGCAAACAGG